AUGGAUGGAAUCUACGGCAGGAUAAAAAAUGCUACAGGGACUCCGCGCCUGCGUAGAGCGCACCCCUCCCUUUCUGCCUCCACUGCCACCAGGGCUCCUGUGAAAAAACUUGUGGCAAAGGGGGCCAAAGAAAAGAAGCAAGUUCUGAAGUUCACUCCUGAUUGCACCCACCCUGUAGAAGAUGGAAUCAUGGAUGCUGCUAAUUUUGAGCAGUUUUUGCAAGAGAGAAUCAAAGUGAAUGGGAAAUCCGGGAACCUCGGGGGAGGUGUGGUGACCAUCGAGAGAAGCAAGAGCAAGAUCACAGUCACCUCCAAGGUGCUAUUCUCCAAAAGGUAUUUGAAAUAUCUCACCAAAAAAUAUUUGAAGAAGAAUCAUCUACAUGAUCGGUUGCACGUAGUUGCUAAAGGCAAAGCGAGUUACGAAUUACGUUACUUCCAAAUUAACCAGGCUGAAGAGGAAGAAGAUGAAGAUUAA